UGACGGGGCCGGCAGAUUCGGCCUCAUCGGUCGGCGUCGACGGCCUCAGCUUCCUUCUCCGUAUAAAUGCGCACAAGCGCUCUAGCAGUAAACGAGAUGAGGCCGCCGAACCACUCACUACUCUAGCUAAGCACCGGUCCUCUCCGAUCCCGUCGCCUUCGACGCUUUCCCCCAUCCGCCUAAACCAAAACCAAUCAGCAAAUCCACCACCCGCUCAUCUCGAGCACGGUCGUCGAGGAUGAGCGACCCGAGGUACGCCAGCUACCCUUACCCGGCGCAAGGUUACUACCAAGGGCCGUACCAGGGCCCGCCGGUGAUGGCGCCGCCGCAGUACCAGUACGGCCCGCCGCCGCCGCGCAGGUCGCCGGGCUUCCUCGAGGGCUGCCUGGCGGCGCUGUGCUGCUGCUGUCUCCUCGACGAGUGCUGCUGCGACCCCUCCAUCAUCUUCGUCUCCUGAUCCAGAGAGGCUGCAGAGACGACCCAGCUGAGACUUCGUUCGACACCCUGCAGCUAGCGCCCAAGGGUGCAAUGCAAGUACGCGGCGGGCAGCUUUGGUUUUCGUGUAGUGUGUUCUUCCAUGACCGUGAUUGUAUCAACAGUGUGAUGUAUGCAUGAUUUGUUCUUCUUCCUGGAGACCUGGACUCAUGUAUGCAUGUGUAUGUAAUUAAGUUCAUCCUGCUUACUGCUGCUGCCUGUAUGGAGUUUCGAUGAGUUGGUUUUACCCGUUUACUUUUCCUUCUUUUUCUGGAAAACAUUUUGAGGAGACCUGUGUUGCUUUCGGCUUCAUGUAAUUUGUUCGUCGCUACACUAUCUUAUUUUCAGAUGGCUGAUUUUUUAUUUGUA